UUCACAACAUGGAUUUGUAGAAUGGAACCUGAAUUAGCAAGAAACCAGCUCCUGGCUUUCUGCAAGGAACAGAGGUUGAUGCAAGCAGACAGCAUCCCAGCUUGGGAGACUAAGUACUGUAUCUCAAAGCUCACUGUCUCAUAGCCAGCAUUCUUGUUGAGGAGGCAUACAGCUCUACUGGCAGGAAUCUUAAGAGUCAAGUGUAACCGAAAUUGCAAGAGACUCUAGGGAAUGACCAACCCACAUCCCACAACAGAAUGAAUAUGAGAAGCAAUAAAUGCUGAAUGGUAAAAGAAGUUAAGAACCAAACAGAAAGGAAGAAGACUUCUUUUAACCAUCUGAAGAUGGCUUUGCACUGAAGGCAACAUACCUUCCAACUAUGAGUUGACUCCAACCGACUCUGGAAACCCAUGUGAUCUUGUUUUGCAAGCAUCUGUGACAUGAAAAGGAGACACAGCUUUGUGCCAACAAGGACAAAACCAGGGGGGAUUAUAAAAGAUUAUAAAAGAAGCAAGUGGAACAGCACUGAAAUAAUAAUACUCACAGGUGUACCGGAGCAAAAAGUCACCCCAAAAUGGAAGAUGCCUUUCAGCACUCCAGAAAAAAAAGAACUUGAA